UGCCAGCAGCCGCGGUAAUACGAAGGGUGCAAGCGUUACUCGGAAUUACUGGGCGUAAAGCGUGCGUAGGUGGUUCGUUAAGUCUGAUGUGAAAGCCCCGGGCUCAACCUGGGAAUUGCAUUGGAUACUGGCGGGCUAGAGUGCGGUAGAGGAUGGCGGAAUUCCCGGUGUAGCAGUGAAAUGCGUAGAGAUCGGGAGGAACAUCUGUGGCGAAGGCGGCCAUCUGGACCAGCACUGACACUGAGGCACGAAAGCGUGGGGAGCAAACAGGAUUAGAUACCCUGGUAGUCCACGCCCUAAACGAUGCGAACUGGAUGUUGGGUGCAAUUUGGCACUCAGUAUCGAAGCUAACGCGUUAAGUUCGCCGCCUGGGGAGUACGGUCGCAAGACUGAAACUCAAAGGAAUUGACGGGGGCCCGCACAAG
rnacentral:rRNA from 1 species